CCUACGGGUGGCAGCAGUGAGGAAUAUUGGUCAAUGGCCGGAAGGCUGAACCAGCCAUGCCGCGUGAAGGUCAGUGCCCUAUGGGCGUUAAACUUCUUUUGUGCGGGAGCAAUAAUGGUCACGUGUGGCCAGACGAGAGUACCGUACGAAUAAGCAUCGGCUAACUCCGUGCCAGCAGCCGCGGUAAUACGGGGGAUGCAAGCGGUAUCCGGAUUUAUUGGGUUUAAAGGGUGCGUAGGCUGUGAGGUAAGUCAGCGGUGAAAUGCCCGCGCUCAACGGGGUGAAGUGCCAUUGAUACUGCCUGGCUGGAAUGCGGAUGCCGUGGGAGGAAUGUGUGGUGUAGCGGUGAAAUGCAUAGAUAUCACACAGAACACCGAUUGCGAAGGCAUCUCACGAAUCCGCGAUUGACGCUGAUGCACGAAAGCGUGGGUAUCAAACAGGAUUAGAUACCCCAGUAGUC
rnacentral:rRNA from 1 species